AAACUGCGAAUGGCUCAUUAAAACAGUUAUAGUUUAUUUGAUGGUCUCUCUUACAUGGAUAACCAUGGUAAUUCUAUGGCUAAUACAUGCGCAAUCGCCUCCUUCUCUGGAGGGGCUGUGUUUAUUAGAUACAAAACCAACCCACUUUGUGGAGUCUUGGUGAUUCAUAGUAACCGAACGGAUCGCAUCUGGCUUCGGCCCGCGAUGGAUCAUUCAAGUUUCUGACCUAUCAGCUUUCGACGGUAGG
rnacentral:rRNA from 1 species